CAAAAGGAGAGAUGGAUGUUCUGUUAGGAACGUCUGACUGAAACAGUCUGCAGAACCCUCUGCAAGUACUCUCCACAAAGAGUUGGAGAUGAUAGGUAUACUUGGAAGAGAGACAUCCAAAUCAUGCUCUUAGUAACAGUACAGUGAAUUUUGCCUCCUGAAAUCAGUGCAAUCUUAGUUUGGUCUUAAGUACAUGCAUCUAUUUCCAUAAAGUCAUGCAACCCCAUUGGGUUCUUCUGUUGUGUGCCUAUCCAGGCCCUAACAAAGCAGUUGGAUGCUCCCAGGAGAAGAAACAUGAAGUUGGACAUCUAGGUCCACGUCUCGUCUAUCUAGCAACAAGUCAGUCAGGUUGAUUCGGUAGGUGUCGCAUCACGCAGGGCAAUCUGAGAAAUGGAUUUCCAAACAAGCACACACACGUUUCUCUCUUCACCUGAUUUAAAAAUUCAGCUACGGAGAUUUCCCUGCUUGAGAUACAGCACCUAAGGAGGAGCUGGCUGUCAGCUGAAGCCCUUCUCUGACUGCAUGGAAAUCCUGAUUUAAAUCCGCACUGAAAGAGGCAGACAGCUUCCACAAGAGGUAACCAAGCUUCUCUGUACCUCGGUUUCCAAACUGGAAUGAGUAAGGCACUCACAUCAGGCUUAUCACAAGUUUUGGGAAAGAUCAUUCAUUUAUGUUCUUCUGCCACACAAAAUUUUAUUACACGGCAUCAGCAAUGUGACCCUUGAACAGGUGACAGUUUGUGUUGGAAUAGAUGAUAUCACUCUCCCCUUGUUUGUUCCAGAUUUGUUCCCAUAACACCUGGGUGCUCACUGAGCCCUAAUAGACACUGCUAACUAGUUGCCAAAAAAGAGGAGCGUAUCUAUUAGAUGUGCUUGCCUUCACAGCUCAGUUUCAGUAAAAUAUUCGAUGCUGCGUAAUAUGAAUAGACACAUCAUCC
rnacentral:lncRNA from 1 species